rnacentral:sRNA from 1 species
GCUGGGCAUGGUGGUGCACGCCUGUAAUCCCAGCAAGUUGGAAGGCUGAGGCAGGAGGAUCACAAGUUCUAAGCCAGCCUCAGCAACUUAGUGAGAUCUUAUCUCAA